rfam:Tuber melanosporum whole genome shotgun sequence assembly, scaffold_6, strain Mel28
UGAAGCUCUCGGUAUGACACAUCAAUCUGCUGCAUUGAUGUGUGACCUGCAGUGUCUAUCGACAGCGUUA